GAUGAACGCUGGCGGCGUGCUUAACACAUGCAAGUCGAACGGAAAGGCUCCUGCUUGCAGGGGUACUCGAGUGGCGAACGGGUGAGUAACACGUGGGUGAUCUGCCCUGCACUUCGGGAUAAGCCUGGGAAACUGGGUCUACUACCGGAUAGGACGAUGGUUUGGAUGGCAUUGUGGAAAGUUUUUCGGUGUGGGAUGAGCUCGCGGCCUAUCAGCUUGUUGGUGGGGUAAUGGCUUACCAAGGCGCCGACGGGUAGCCGGCCUGAGAGGGUGUACGGCCACAUUGGGACUGAGAGACGGCGCAGACGCCUACGGGAGGCAGCAGUGGAGAAUAUUGCACAGUGGGCGCGAGCCUGAUGCAGCGACGCCGCGUGGGGGAAGACGGCCUUCGGGUUGUAAACUCCUUUCGCUAGGGACGAAGCGCAAGUGACGGUACCUGGAGAAGAAGCACCGGCUAACUACGUG
rnacentral:rRNA from 1 species